GCAGUGGCUGAACGGAAGAGCGCCCGCUUGGCAUGCAGAACGUUCCAGGUUCGAUCCCUGGCGUCUUCA
rnacentral:tRNA from 1 species